AUGCCUUACCAGGAUUUCGAGGGCUUGCCCUUGCUCCUGCAGGUGCUGGAGGAAGAGAAAAGUGGAGUUCCACAGAGUGUCCAGUCAGAAGUCCAGCUGGUGGAAUCUGGAGGAGGUGUAAAAAGGCCUGAGGAGUCCCUCCGCCUGACCUCUCAAGGCUCUGGGUUCACCUUCAGCAGCUAUGUAAUGAACUGGGUGGGACAAGCUCCUGGAAAAGGCUUGCAAUGGGUUGCAUUAGUAAGUGAAACUGCAGUUACCAUUUGGUACGCAGAUGCAGUGAGAGGGCGCUUAACCAUCUCCAGGGAUAAUGCAAACAGCCAGCUUUAUUUGCAAAUGAACAGCCUGAAAGCCGAGGACACUGCUGUGUAUUACUGUGAGGAAGUGAAUCUGAAGCCCUGCAAAAAACCUCUUUCCAGUCUUGGACACCUGCCGUUAGUCAAAAUGAAGAAAUUAGAAGCAAGGUGGUGA